rnacentral:lncRNA from 1 species
AGGUGGAGGAGGUAUCAUAUCUACUGGCUCACUAUUGAGUUCAGGUUCUUGGACUCGAUGCUUUUUAGAGACAUUCUAUUCGAGCUCAAUCCUCCUUCCAUUACCUCCAUCUUGGAUAAUUUUUUUUUCAAGAAGAUGACAUGAUAGCUCAUAAUCACAUUGUGAUCUUCAGAAAGAUAGAAAUAGUAUCCCAUGAUUUUCUUAAGAUACCUUAUA